UGAUUUUUCAGAGUGCAGCCUAAACUAAUAUGGAGUACCUGCAUUUAAUUAACUACUUUAAAAAUGUUCUUCAGACUAUGAAGCCAUAAAGCCAGAAGAAAACCUGAGAAGCCAUCUGUCCCAGCCAGAAAUUUAAAUUUCUUAAGAAGAUCAGCACCUACAAAAGAGUCACAGAGGUACAAGAGGAGUCCACUGAAAAACACCCCAUCACAGUUGACAUUGCUGGAGUGGGGUCUGGAGCUGAUGUAGCAUAUGGCCACCUGGAAUGAUCAAGCAGAAGGAGCAUGGGCAUUUCAGAAGCAAAAUGUCUGCACUUUACCUGAAUGAGUCAGUAUCUUCCUCUUUAGCUGUCUGUUUCAGGAUAAGGGAAAAGGUUUUUUUGUGUGUGUGUGUGUGUUUUUUUUAUUGAAACUUAAAUGAGUUGGUUAUUUAAGCUUUGCCCCUCUUCUAUGUAGUGUACCAAGGUUUAACAUAUUUAAAGCUUCUAGUUUAUUUCUCAUAAUCAGAGAUGGUUAUGAAAGAAUUAGUAGUAAGAAACAAAAUAAGCCCCUCUAUCUAAGAGUGUUUAUAAAAUAAAAAAGCCGCUUUCCACAGAAAGGCAUACUGAGGAAAGAUAAAAUAUUUAGAUCACCUUAUUAGAGAGAGUAAACAUUUUUAAUCAGCUUUUCAUGUAGAUAGACUUAAAUUUUCAAUUGGUUAGAAGCUUCAAACUGCAUGAAUUAAAUUUUUAGGUCUGUAUGGCUUCCAUGUAACCACAGAAAUUACAGGUAAGUGAAUGAGAUAGUUGGAGGACUUUGAGAAGGAUGGAAUGACUAAAAAUGUGGGCCAGACUGCUUGGGUUCGAGUACUGGUUCCUUGAAUAGUUGUGUGACUCUGAGCAGUCUCCUUCAUUUCACCAUAUUUCAUCUUCCUGCUCUGUAGAGAUGAUAGCAGUAUCUGAUUCAUAGGACUAUUUUGUGAAUUAAUAUAAACAGUAAGUAUUCAGUGAGUGUUAGCUGCUGUUAGUAGUAGUGGUAUUGGGAUUUUGUUGUCCGACAUCUAAAGCCCUGGAUCUUGGGAUGGAAGAGUUGGGAAACCUGGGCUAGACAUGUAACUUAUGUUGAUACCAUGAAAGUGUGGUAUCUGAUGUAAGGCUCCUUCUACUUAUAAAAUUCAAUAAUUCAUGUCCAACCCACAGUGUAGACUUGUGAGAAUGUAAAAUAUUUACAGUUAAAUUUUAAAAAUCAGUU